rnacentral:snoRNA from 1 species
UGAUGACAUUCUCCGGAAUCGCUGUACUUCCUUGAUGAAAGUACACUUGAACCCUUUUCCAUCUGACGACUGAGCUCUUCCAUU